UCCAAAGAUAUUUGACUUUUAGAUUUAAUAUGUUUAACAGUGUUUAUAAUGACGUUAAUAAAAAAAAAACUGCACUGUCUAAUUAUGGAACUGUUGUAAAUUUCGUGAGUCCAUAGCAUUACGGUCACCCAGUCUCCUAACAAACAGUACACAUAGGCCUACAUGUACCUGUGUCCGCAAGACCAACAUAAGCCUUGGUCUACACACGUGCGAUAGAGCUGUCAAACGCAUCCAGCGAGCUCGGAGAAACACGUUUUUUUUUUGCCGAGAAGUUACGAUGGCAGACAAAACUUUUCUUUUCUUAAUUAGAUCAUAUGAAUACGAAUUCUGAUUAAUAAAAAUUAUACAAUCCCUGUUGAACUAUAUAUAGUUUGUUCUAACAUUUGCAUCUGCAACAACUUGUGUUUAAAAUGGCCGGGUUAGGAAAAUCAGGACCGGGUCGGAAAAUUCUAAACUGAAAACCUUUUUUGUUUUGAAAAUUACUGAAAUAUACUAAUGUAUUCGUCGCAGAAAUUGCUUACAUUAUUCAAGUUCUAUAUAAAAUGGUAUGCUGAACUUCAACACGAACCCGAAUCUCCAACCCAGUUCUCGUUUUGCCACACAAACCCUACAGUUUACAAAGUGUACACACGAGCAGAAUCCGGCCAGGGAUUGAAAAUUCCGUCAUUUAAUAAUACACACACACAGAAUGAUUAAUUUUUUCUUUAAGAAGAAAUUGUAUGAUAAUUAACGGACUAUAAACAUGUACUUAAUACAAUUGUUGAUAUAGUAUUAUCAAUUCAUCGGUGAAAAGAUAUGAAUCGAAGAAUGACCUAAAUAUUCUCUGUUAUCAAACAUGUAAAAAAAAAAAAGGCUGAGGAGGGAGCGAGCGUAGGAAUAUUGAUAUUUUUUAUUUGCAUUUCGGGUGGAAAGUGACUUUCUAAUAAUAUUUUGACGUUAUUUUUGAUUUCUUUAACGUAUGAUAUACACAACUUUACUCUUAUCAUGAACAAUAAUGUUGUAUCUACUUAUCAUGAUGGAACUAUUUUGGUCGGACCAAUUUGUGUGAGCUGCCGCUGAAUACAGUAAUAUAUCUUGCAUAAAUAGUAUGCACUGAUCGAAUAUAUUAAAAACAUUUAUGGAUACUGAUAGUUCUUGUAUCGUUAUCUUAUUAUUUCCCUUGGAAUCCUCUCCCCGUGGGAGGCCCGUUGAUUCUGGUGUAUCACCAUUGCACAUGCAUGCAAGAUAACGUCAGUCUCCAUAUUUAUUUUUCGCGGUAAACAUGUUUACAAUUUUCUGAUGAAGGUUUUACUGCGUUUCAUGGGAUAUACAAGCCGUGAUAAAUCACCUAUGUUUGCUUACUUAUAUAUUAUGAAGCAGUGAUCUUUCUGUGAAAUCAUUGGAUAUAUAUUUUGGUACACUUCGAUGGACGGAUCCGACCACUUAUGCGAUGGCCACUUGUCAGCUUAUGCUGACGGCGAGGAAUUUCUCCGAUAAAGAUCACAAGUUCAACCGCUGUCGAUUAGGACCUAAACGCUAUUAUUUCGUAAGUGAACUGUGUAAAUUAUGCAUUUAUCAUUGAACUAGGUUGUGAAGUGCUAAUUAAAACGACAUCAAAGUUUUGGGGGUAUUCCAGCGUCUAUAAAUAGCCAACGGUUUGUAAACAAAACGAUGACGUGCCUGACCUAUCUUAUUCGUCAACACUGCGAUCUGGAGACUCAAACGGCACCUCGACUUGACUAUUUUGAGUUUAUUUACAGACUUUAAAACGGUGGAUUCAUAACAAAACUGAGUGACAUUUGUUACUUGGCGAUUUAAAAUAUGUGACCAUGGGCUAAAUUCCAAUUAUCAUAGAAAAUACUAGAUCUACAUCGACUUAUGCGAAUUUUUAGAGAUGACCGGACGAUUCCUGGCCAUACAAAGGAAAUGAACCACAUACUUUUCAAAUAAGGUGCGACUGCAAUCAAGGAGAAACUAUUCAAUAAAAUAAUUCAUGGAAAUAUACACUAGCAACUUCGAAUGGCAUGCCACUAUGAUGUUUCUGUGGGAAGAACCAUGGCUUGUUUACAUGAUGUUCAAUAUGACUAAAAGAAUGCUGACCCAUUCCUUGCUCUAUACAGGAUGACGAAAUGGGUCCAGUUGGAACCAAAGGAGAACAAAGACUAGAAAUUUUAUUUCAGCACAGGAAAUUUGAAAUAUCCUUUUCAAAAAAAGAUUUAUAUUAUAAUCAUAAGGUCGACUACUUCUCACAUAUUUUAAAAAAAAAAAAAAAUUCCCCCCAAUUCAUAUUAGUUUUUAGAAAAGUUGCAGGUCAUGCUAAUAAUCUUAUUAUAAAUAGUAGAAUGUAAAUAUCAUUUUGUUUACAAAUAGUGGUAAUGAAUAAGAAAAAUUGUAGCAACGACACACGUACGAUAUAAUAAAAUGCUGAGAAGGAUUGUGGCCCUUGCAAUAAAUACAUGUAUAUCAAUUAUCAUUCAAUGAUCGAUAACCUAUGAUAUUAAUAUGGAUUAUGCGGUUAAAAUAUCCCCCCCACCAAUUAAUUAAAGAUCUUGAUAAUUUUCUUCGAUUAAGAAUUGAGACUUUUUAUGAGUUUUAAAACAAAUCCAUUUUUAUGAUCACAAAUAGCAAUUAGCAUGCAAAACUUCCAUGGAUGUAAAACAAGGUGAAGUGGUUCUAAUAUGAUUUCCCGACCAAUAAUUAGUUCAUUUGUUAGAAGAUUGUACAUCGAACAUCAAACAUGGUAUACAUGUUUCAAUGUUGUUUAUGUUAUUUUAUUUUAUGUUUAUUUAUUUAUUUCUUUUGCUCAAUGCUGUAGACAUACCCCUAGAUACCCUAGUUACUGAGUAAGUAGAGCAUUGGACUAUUGAUACUGGGGUAUUAAAUCAAAUUCCCGGUCAUUGUAAAUGUACUUGCGGAUAUCAGUCCAUCCACUUCCACACUCAUACAAGCAUACAUGGGGUUAUGUAAGCUUAUAAUAGUUAUCCAUCAUCAAAGUGUUCCCCCUAUGUUAAUGUAUUGUUACUUAGAUGAUUAAAAAUAAGCAUGAUUAAGAUAUUCAUGAAAAUGGCAACUAAGCAAUAUUCUGCCAUGAUGCUACAUGCACCUAGGGUUUGAGGUUUAGUUGGAUCCAGUUGGCUGUGGCUACUUAAUUAUUGUUCAAUAAUUACUUCAUUAUUAGAUCAAUUUAAUCAGAACAUCUAUUGAUUUCUUUUCUUAUUACAUAAAGAGUGUCAAGCAUAUUUGGCAAAUUUACAUUCUUGACUAAAGUUUCUUUGCUUAUGGAAUGCCACUUGCUUAUGCAGUGCCUCACAUACAAGUAUCAUGAAGUUAGCCUUCGAGGCUUUUUUUUUUUUUUUUGUCUUAAUGUAACUUUGUUUGCUUUACUAAAUGUAGUUAUUGUUGGUAAAAGUUUUAAAAUACUUGUUGUGAUACACUUGACUGUAAAAGCAAACAUUGGUUAUCGUUUAUUUAUUCAAAUUAUAGAUUUGGAUACUUAACAUAGUACUAAAUUUUGGUGAAUAUUGAUAUCAGAUACAGUUCUUACUAAGAGACAUAGUACAUAUAUAUGUUCUAUUGUAUCAAUGGCUUAAUUUAAUACAUUUUGAUUCCUUGCGUGAUCUGGCUUGAAAAUGUAAUAUUCAUCAGUCUGGCUCAGUGUAUGUUAAUUCUCCUUGUAGGUUUGAUUAUGGAAGUAAGCUAUUGUUCUGAUGCAACUGGUAACUCUGAAGGAAGGCAUAAAUAUCACUUUUGGUAUGUGUAACUAAUGAUUCAAUUAUUCUAGCUCAUAUGAGAUACAGCACUUGUUGAAUAAUGAUUGGAAUCAAACCAUAGUUUUGAGCAGAGCAAUGACUUUCUAUGAUGAAUCAUUUGUGGCCCAGAUUACGAUGUAAAAUGAGACAUAGCAUUGACUAUAUAUAAGAAUCAUUUUGUAGUUCUGCGUCAGAGAUAUAAAAAGUUUUUUUGUGUGUGACGAUUCAGGUUGUUGGACUAGGAAGAAGACAUAGCCCCUUUUGAUUAUGAUGAAUCAGUUCGCAGCUCUGGCUGCAAUAUGAAUAGCACUGGCUAUUUUAUGAUGAUUCAAUAUGUAAUGCUGGCUACAAAAUGAAUAGCACUAGCUAUUUUAUGAUGAUUCAAUAUGUAGCGCUGGCUACGAGAUAUAGCAAUGGCUUUUGUAUGAUGAUUCAAUAUAUAGCUCUGGCUACAACAUAUACAAAUAGCCCUGGUUAAUGUAUAAUGAAUCAAUGUGUAGCUCCAGCUAUGAGAUAUAGCACUAGCUAUUGUCAUUAGGGGCUAUGAUGUUGUGGUUUUGAUUUGGUGUAUAGUUUGAUUUUGCUAUAAAUAUUUUUGGGCAUAUAUUACAAUGGUUUUAUUAAUGUAUUGAAGUCAAGUAUAAAGCUUUGCAGUGUUGCAUGUGCCUUGUUUUAUUUAAAGGCUGUGUGACGAUUCAGAUUGUAGGACUAGGUAGGAGACAUAGCCCCUUUUGGUUAUGAUGAAUCAGUUUGUAGCUCUGGCUGCAAGAUGAAUAGCACUGGCUAUUUUAUGAUGAUUCAAUAUGUAAUGCUGGCUACAAAAUGAAUAGCACUAGCUAUUUUAUGAUGAUUCAAUAUGUAGCGCUGGCUACGAGAUAUAGCAAUGGCUUUUCUAUGAUGAUUCAAUAUGUAGCUCUGGCUACGGCAUAUACAAAUAGCUCUGGCUAAUGUAUAAUGAAUCAAUGUGUAGCUCCAGCCAUAAGAUAAAGCACUAGCUAUUGUCAUUAGGGGCUAUGAUCUUGUGGUUUAGAUUUGGUGUAUAGUUUGAUUUUGCAAUAAAUAUUUUUGGGCAUAUAUUACAGUGGUUUUAUUAAUGUAUUGAAGUCAAGUAUAAAGCUUUGCAGUGUUGCAUGUGCUUUUUUUUAUUUAAAGGCUGUUUUUCAAUCCUAAAAAGUGUUGUAGAUAUAUGUACACAGGUAUACAUGAGAACAGAUGCUUCUGGCUUCAUUUAAAAUGGGCUUGCUGUAAAAUAAAAAAAGAAGAAGUAAAAACUGGCAUCGGUCAAAGUUAUAGUUAGUCUGUACUACUUUUUGGUAAUAGUUUAAUAACUUUGAAUUAUACCUAAAUCAAUCUGGUGGUCUUGAUACUUUGUCCCCUAAUGUUGAGUUGUUGACAGGAUAUUUUGUGUUUUAGUUUUUCCUGAAUUAUUUCUUAACUAUUGAUUUUGAUUCUGCAUGGAUUCUCAAUGACAAAUUUAAAGUGGUACUCGAUUUAUUUUACAUAAAAGAUGACUUUUUCGCUGAAUGUAUGACCUCAGCAGGGUCAUAUCGAUAUGAUGCAUUUUUCAUAUUUUCACAUUAAAGGGUAACAUUCAUUAUGAUAGAUAAAGUCACUUAAUUUAACUGAAUUAAAGCAACUUGCUUGUGAUAUUAUCUAUGUGUUGAUAUUUAGUAUAUGAAAUGAUGCUAGGGGCCUUUGGUCACACCUCUAUCCUAGAAAUGAGUUGUUGUCCAUUUUUUCAUAGGUUUGAGGUCAACGGCUAUUAUUUGUCUGGAUAUUGCUUAUUGGUUUUGCUUUUAUAUUUAGUCUACAGACAUGACCAUGCAGACAGGGGCCUUUAGCUAUGCCUGGAUAUGGGUUAAUAACUAUAUUUUGAUGUUUAGCUUUUGACCUUGUGGGCAAGGUCCUCAGGUCAAAAUCGUUUUGUUUAUAGUCAAACUUUUGAUAUUUUUUCUACCACCAUAAAGACAGCUUCAGGUUACAUGUGAAUAUGGUUUAUUGGAAAUCUAGUCUAUGGCCAUGAAGACAGGGGCUUCUGGUCACAAAUGGUGAUUAGAUAAAUUUGGAAUAUAGUUUAUGGCCAUGAAGACAGGGGCUUCUGGUCACAACUGGAUUUUGGUGAUUGGAUAGAUUUGGAAUCUAGUCUAUGGCCAUGAAGACAGGGGCUUCUGGUCACAACUGGAUUUUGGUGAUUGGAUAGAUUUGGAAUCUAGUCAAUGGCCAUGAAGACAGGGGCUUCUGGUCACAACUGGAUUUUUGCGAU